rnacentral:misc_RNA from 1 species
GAUGAAGAACGUAGUGAAAUGCGAUAAGUAAUGUGAAUUGCAGAAUUCAGUGAAUCAUCGAAUCUUUGAACGCACAUUGCGCCCGCUAGUAUUCUGGCGGGCAUGCCUGUUCGAGCGUCAUUUCAACCAUCAAGCCCUGUUUAGGCUUGUGUUGGGGCCCUGCGGUUGCCGCAGCCCCCUAAAUGCAGUGGCGGGCUCGUUGUCACUCCGAGCGCAGUAGCGUAUCUCGCUCUGGGCGUGGCGGCGGGUGCUAGCCGUGAAACACCCACUAAGGUUGACCUCGGAUCAGGUAGGAAUACCCGCUGAACUUAAGCAUACAAUAAGCGGAGGA